UAUUGAGAUUGAUAUGAAGCCUUGCUCGUGUGCGCUUGCGAUGGUUGUUGAAGCGAGGCAGGCGAUGAAGAUGUGUGAAGAUUUUGUGGAGAGGAAGGUGACGAAGAAGAUAGGAGAUUGAAGUUUCUUGAAGGUUUUGCAUAGUUGCAAAAAUGGAGAAGAUUAGAAGAUGGUGACAAAGCCGAAAGGGAUUAAAUCAUUCUAACAAAAAUGGAAGAGCAUGGAAUCAUGAACAUAUCGGAGGAAUUGUAGUUGGAAGGUUCAAGCCCUAAUUCCGCUCCCUUCACGUCAACAAAAUGGACUCAAGGCCAAAACUUCAACCGAUAUCAAGAACAACAUGGAAACGAGGCUAACAAUUCACACUAGCAAUGGAAUGAAAACAUGACGCCAUUAGUUAUGAUAAAUCGAAGUAACUUACCAGAAUGAAGCACCGCAGAGGUUCCGGUGUCGUCGAUGUCGCUCACAGGUGAGUUUCUCUAUGUGCUUUCUGCAAUUUCCUCUUCUUCUUUCUUCCUCUUCUGAAUUCACGAGCGAUGAAAAGAGACUGAGGAGGCUUAGCUCAAGCAGAAUUGAAGCUUCGAUGUGAAGCUUCAAUGGCUUUUUUGAAAGAGAAAAAGAGCUCUGGUGAGGGUGAGGGAAAAGGUUGCAAGAGAGAGAGAGAGUGCAGGUUUAUGCCAAAAAAUGCCAAGGGCUCAAAAUGUGAGUGAUCAAGCCCUUAAAUAGAGUUGAGGUUCGGGACUUGCUAGCUUCGGAUUGAGGUUAGGAAUUAGUUGAGGGUGGCUUGGAGUUAGUUAAACUCAACUCACUGAGUUAAAUGGAAAAACUCAGUUAGUUAUAUUAGGGAAACUCAGUUAGUUAUGUGUGUAGAUGUUGGUUAGUGAGUGAGUGGGAACUUGACUGGCUGUUGCAGGUUACUGUUAGAUUAAUGUCACAUUGGAAGGGUUUUUAAUGACUUGUUGUUUAUGUUGCAGGUUAGGAACUUUGGCUUGGACUUAUGAAAGGCUUUGGUGUGUGGAAACAAAUGAGUACGUUAGCUGUGAAUCGAACUGGAUUCUGCUAUAUCAUUUUAGAUGUUAGAUCAAAGAUUGCUAAUGAUAGUUAGCUUAUGCAGGUGUUGCUUGGACCCUGUGAAGCUAUGCGAAACCGAGUCAAGCAUUCCAUCUUCCAAACACAAGGCAACGUGUCGCUUCUACCAUAACUUCACUGCACCCUUGGCCAUCGGCGGAGGCUAGCCAUAAACCUUUUGUGACUUGCUCCGGUGUCGGAGAGGAAGUUGUUAAUGCCCGCUUGGAUUAACUGAAAAACUACUUCGGGUUUGUUGGAAGUCUUGUUCAACCGAAAACCGGUGUGGCGGAGAGAUUCCAUCAAUGAGGUUUGUUAAUCUACUAAGAAAACCUAUUUAAUGACUAUUAUGUUAUGGUUUUUUUUGCUUUCUGUUAUGGUUUUUAAGUGAAAACCGUUGGUUGUAAUGGACUGGUGAUGUUAAUUUGUUGGGAGAUUGUUAUUGCAUUCCGUUAUGGUCAAUUCAGUUGGGUCGUGUACAUGUGGUCAUGGUAGUGCAGACUGGUAUGGUGCAGAGUUCUCUAAAGUUAACUCUCGGCUUUGCUUGAAUUUUCAGGAACAACCCCGAGGCUAAAAUGGAAUGAAGACAUUCAAGCUGUCUAUGGAGAGCAACAAGAUGCAGUGACGUAGCACCAUUUCCACAUUUUAUAUUCACAAAUCUGGCAAAUCCCCAAGAAUCUGCUACAGGCGUGGAAUGAGCAGCUGAACGAAUAGCCUUUAGGAAAUCUACAUGGCCACAACAUGCAACAUAGUUCAAGCAAGUUCUUUGACAAAUAGAAUCAAACAUCAAUAUAUUAGCUCCAGCUUGAAUAAGCUUUUCCAUGCAACCGUUCUUUCCAUGCAUCACAUCCAACUUUAAUGACGUCUGUUUGUGACGAUUCAAGACAUCAACUUUACCAUUCUGCUCCAACAACAUGGAAAGCACCUCGAUCCGACCAUGAAGAGGAGGCAAACUAGCUA
rnacentral:lncRNA from 1 species